AUUAUUUUGUCAGAUAAAUGAGGUAAAAUUAGAAUUUAUUUAUACAUAAAUUAAUUAUGUAAGUAAUA
rnacentral:tRNA from 1 species